rnacentral:rRNA from 1 species
UCCGUAGGCGGGCGAUUAAGUCAGAGGUGAAAUCCCACAGCUCAACUGUGGAACUGCCUUUGAUACUGGUUGUCUUGAGUUAUAGUGAAGUAGAUAGAAUGUGUAGUGUAGCGGUGAAAUGCAUAGAUAUUACACAGAAUACCGAUUGCGAAGGCAGUCUACUAACUGUAUACUGACGCUAAUGGACGAAAGCGUGGGGCGCGAACAGGAUUAGAUACCCUGGUAGUCC